CUGAAAAUAGGGUACCUGCUUUUCUUCUUUCUUGUAGAUGAGCCCAUUAGAGUCCUCUAAUGCCUGUCAUGGGGUAAGAAGAUUGAGACUCAGAAAUAACAAAGACUCAAUCACCAAUAGCAGUAAAAAUACUGAUGAAAGGCAAAACCACGGCAAUCUGCCCCAAACUUGGACAAGCAUGAGCUCCUCCCAUGAACCUGUCUGCACAUCUCUCUGUCCUUGCCUAUGGAGCAUUCUUGGAAGUCACUCCCUGUAACUUUAUUCCCCUAAGAGAAUUUCAAGAGGUUAUCAUCAUCAAAGCCUCAUCCAUUUGGUAGGCAAAAAUGCAAAAGCUCAGCAAAGUCUUCCUGGAUGCCCCCUUUUAUUCCCAUGACAAAGCCUAAGGUUGAUUCAGUGCUGAGCACCUGCAGACCCAGAUUCUGUAAAAUCACAUAAGACCGGGCAAAUUCCAGCCUCAGGUCUUACAGAUUCCCCUAGUGUUGGUUAGUAAAAAACAAUCAUAAAAUUUGUUAGCCAAUUGACUGGGUCCUAGUCACCAUAAAUACUUUCAACUCUGAGAACAAAGCUUCUUCACAGAGUCAAGAAAAAGAUUUAUGUAAGAAAAAAAUUUUCAGUUCCUCUAUGGACUGACAGCAUCUCAGUUGUACCCUUUCCAAGUUCCUGACCUUCAAAAUUCAUCUACUUGCCCAAAUGAAUGUUGUUUUAUGCUCUAAAUUUGUGCAAUAAUUCAUUGUACAGCCAUAGCAAAGCGGUAUUCUUCAACCUCAGUUUUCUCAUCUGUAAAAUGGAGUCUUUGUUGAUACAUGUCUAGUAAAUGAUUUAUGAACAAUAAAUGAUUCUUUUGCACUUGCUACA